rnacentral:misc_RNA from 1 species
AAGUCGUAACAAGGUUUCCGUAGGUGAACCUGCGGAAGGAUCAUUACAAGUGAGGCCGCCGAACACCGAUCAAACGGUGGGUAGGCGGCUUACACCCACCCGUGUCUACAUACUCUUGUUGCUUUGGCGGGCCGUGGCCUCCACUGCGGGCUCUGCUCGUGUGUGCCCGCCAGAGAACCAAACUCUGAAUGUUAGUGAUGUCUGAGUACUAUCUAAUAGUUAAA